AUUGAACGCUGGCGGCAGGCCUAACACAUGCAAGUCGAACGAGUGGCGGACGGGUGAGUAAUGUCUGGGAAACUGCCUGAUGGAUGGGGAUAACUACUGGAAACGGUAGCUCAUACCGCAUACCAUCGGAUGUGCCCAGAUGGGUUUAGCUAGUAGGUGGGGUAAAGGCUCACCUAGGCGACGAUCCCUAGCUGGUCUGAGAGGAUGACCAGCCAAACUGGAACUGAGACACGGUCCAGACUCCUACGGGAGGCAGCAGUGGGGAAUAUUGCACAAUGGGCGCAAGCCUGAUGCAGCCAUGCCGCGUGUAUGAAGAAGGCCUUCGGGGUGUAAAGUACUUUCAGCGGGGAGGCGUUACCCGAAGAGGAAGCACCGGCUAACGCCGUGCCAGCAGCCGCGGUAAUAC
rnacentral:rRNA from 1 species